UACGUAGGGUGCAAGCGUUGUCCGGAAUUAUUGGGCGUAAAGAGCUCGUAGGCGGUCUGUCGCGUCUGCUGUGAAAACUCAGGGCUUAACCCUGAGCUUGCAGUGGGUACGGGCAGACUAGAGUGCGGUAGGGGGAGACUGGAAUUCCUGGUGUAGCGGUGAAAUGCGCAGAUAUCAGGAGGAACACCGGUGGCGAAGGCGGGUCUCUGGGCCGUAACUGACGCUGGAGGAGCGAAAGCGUGGGGAGCGAACAGG
rnacentral:rRNA from 1 species